rnacentral:rRNA from 1 species
CCUACGUGAGACUGCAGUGGGGAAUAUUGCACAAUGGGGGAAACCCUGAUGCAGCGACGCCGCGUGAGUGCAGAAGUAAUUCGUUAUGUAAAGCUCUAUCAGCAGGGAAGAAAAUGACGGUACCUGAGUAAGAAGCCCCGGCUAACUACGUGCCAGCAGCCGCGGUAAUACGUAGGGGGCAAGCGGUAUCCGGAUUUACUGGGUGAAAAGGGAGCGUAGACGGCAGUGCAAGUCUGGAGUGAAAGGCGGGGGCUCAACCCCCGGACUGCUCUGGAAACUGUACGGCUGGAGUGCAGGAGAGGUAAGUGGAAUUCCUAGUGUAGCGGUGAAAUGCGUAGAUAUUAGGAGGAACACCAGUGGCGAAGGCGGCUUACUGGACUGUAACUGACGUUGAGGCUCGAAAGCGUGGGGAGCAAACAGGAUUAGAUACCCUUGUAGUC